rnacentral:rRNA from 1 species
CCUACGGGAGGCAGCAGUGAGGAAUAUUGGUCAAUGGGCGCGAGCCUGAACCAGCCAAGUCGCGUGAGGGAUGACUGCCCUACGGGUUGUAAACUUCUUUUGUAAAGGAGUAAUGUGAGGCACGCGUGCCUUGUUGUAGGUACCUUACGAAUAAGGAUCGGCCAACUCCGGGCCAGCAGCCGGGGUAAUACGGAGGAUUCGAGCGUUAUCCGGAUUUAUUGGGUUUAAAGGGAGCGUAGGUGGGUUUUUAAGUUAGUGGUAAAAUUUUGGGGCUAAACCUAAGAUGGGCAUUGAUACUGGCGGUCUUGAGUACAGUUGAGGUAGGCGGAAUUCGUGGUGUAGCGGUGAAAUGCAUAGAUAUCACGAAGAACUCCGAUUGCGAAGGCAGCUUACUAAACUGCCACUGACACUGAUGCACGAAAGUGUGGGUAGCGUACAGGAUUAGAUACCCGUGUAGUC